GAUCAAUCAAUUGUGGUACAGCGCAACCCCGAGGUGCACGCAACCAAAUCUUUCAGGUGAUUCAACAGAAAGUACGCCGUCUGGGGAAAGCUCCGCCGACAACCAUGUCGCAAACCAUGCUGACCGUAUUGGAAACACGAACUGGUGCCUGUGCGGACGAUGCGUCAGUAUGACUACAUCGACGGGAAGUGUGUGCUGUCUGGAAUACCCCGCCAUAGCAGAGAUGGCUGAGGAGGCUGCGAUAAAAUGCAUAACACAGCACGACGAGUUCAGAGCUAUUCGUCUGAAUGAGGUGGUGCUACGGGUUGCAAACCGUGACCUACGGCAACGUGGAGUGAAAACUGGGAAAGCAUGAAACGAGCAGUACCGGUUCACAUCCUAUAGACAGUUCGUGUUAUGGAUGCGGGAAUGCCUGGGAAAAUUCAACAGGAAGCCUCUGCCAUCCUGCACAGUUGACAUUAUCAAGAAACACUUUCCUUCAAGAGUAUACAGGGGUUUUCGUUACCCAAGAAAAAGUGAAUAAACGU